rnacentral:rRNA from 1 species
CCUACGAGCUGCAGCAGUGGGGAAUAUUGCACAAUGGGCGCAAGCCUGAUGCAGCCAUGCCGCGUGUAUGAAGAAGGCCUUCGGGUUGUAAAGUACUUUCAGCGGGGAGGAAGGUGUUGUGGUUAAUAACCGCAGCAAUUGACGUUACCCGCAGAAGAAGCACCGGCUAACUCCGUGCCAGCAGCCGCGGUAAUACGGAGGGUGCAAGCGUUAAUCGGAAUUACUGGGCGUAAAGCGCACGCAGGCGGUCUGUCAAGUCGGAUGUGAAAUCCCCGGGCUCAACCUGGGAACUGCAUUCGAAACUGGCAGGCUAGAGUCUUGUAGAGGGGGGUAGAAUUCCAGGUGUAGCGGUGAAAUGCGUAGAUAUCUGGAGGAACACCGGUGGCGAAGGCGGCAUCCUGGACCGGCAUUGACGCUGAGGCGCGAAAGCUAGGGGAGCAAACGGGAUUAGAUACCCUAGUAGUC